CUGUUUUACUGGGGACAGGGGUUUUAACCGCCAAAAUAUCACUAUAUUUAUGCUGUCUGUAGAAUAAUUUCUCAUUCUAGACAUCUUAGCCUCAGGUGGGUGAAAGCAGAGGAGUAGAAACCAGAUUCAAUCCAUUCCAAAAUCCAUGAAAAUCCAUCAAAUAUCAAAGUUCCAAAAAUAAACCCAUAUUUGGACAACGUGAAUUUAUAAUGAGUAACUGGAAUGACAGCCUUCUUUACAUAAGUAAUGAGGUGGCAAAUCGGGCAUCAUUAAUAUUUAUGACUUAACUUGGGUACAUUUUUUAUCUAACAAAAUGAAUUUUAUUUACUUAAUCGAUUCAAGUAAAUCACAAUUCAAAUGAUUUUGGGAGAUGAAGGUUAGAGUCCAUUCUGUGCCUUGGAACAGAGCAAGUGGCAUUGUUUUGGGGCAAACACGGAGUCACUGAAACCCCUGGGGUUACGGGCGCUGGGAAGAUCCGCCGUGCCUCGUGCUAUUCCCAAUCCGCAAACCUCACAGAUGUGAGUGCAGUUACUUCCCGGUCAGAAAGCUGAACCAGUGCAGUAUCGGGAUCUCUCACAACAUUCUCUCGGCUGGCCAGCAGCAAAACCUUAGCCUGACCACCUUAUUGUUGGGUUUUUUAACAGUCUUUAACGUCUUUGCUCCGUGACGCUUCAGAAAUGCGGAGGUCCGGCUUCGCAGGGGGUGCUGGAAGCCAGCAGCGGAUGGACCGUGUCUCCGCUGACUCGUCGCAGUGCAAAUUCGGCGGCACCGAGGGAAAUGCCCCAGGAGAUCUGCGCCCAGGGUCCCCUGGCCAGCGAGAGACGCUCGGCAGGAAGGAAUGAGCUGGUGAAAUGUUUCUCUCGCAUCUUGCCCCAAGCAAAGUGUUUCAAAAGUCAGCUAAAUCACGAAGCUGAUGACUCCGAGAUGUCAACCUCUGCCCUCCACUGAGAAGGCACAAGCGGGAGCACUGCUUGAAGCUUCCUGACCAAUUUGCAUCUGGCUUAUCAGCAAGACACCGCAUCACUACGUCCCAUCUAAGAGGUGUAAGAACGGCGUGUUUAAAGCAGAAAUGUCUCUGAGACCACUUAUGACUGUCUGCUGGGUCUCUCAUCGUCAGGAGCGAAUCCAGUUUGCUGCACUUCCACACCCAGCCACCCACUUCCACGACUGCUCCUCGCUGGAAUGCAACCCACGUCCUCCGCGCUGCUUCUUCUCUCUGUGCUGUCAAACGGGACGUACAUAGAUGCUCAUCAGAGUGGUUUUUGCAGGCUCCGCCAGCGA